rnacentral:lncRNA from 1 species
UAAUUUUCGAGUACUAUUCCGAAAUGAGUUGCGGGAAAAGGCUAUACCUUAACAUUGGAUAAAUAAUCGUAUCGAAAUUCUCAUAUUUUUAUUUUUAAAGCAAACCAUACGCAAUUACAAAUGCACUAAUUUCAUCCCAUAUUCUUCUUUGACAGACAUUUGAAAAUGUUAAUUCAAAAGAAAAUGUACAGUUGUUUCCUAAGUAACAACAAAAUAUGAUUUUCUUAUGGUUAUUUAUGCUAUGACUUGUUCCUUAUAUAUCAACAGACAUAUUGUAUGUUUAUUUUCAUUUCGCAUUAUCUUAUAUGUAUAUGUCAUAUUUGUUUUUCUUGAGAAAAUACCUUUUUAUUAAACGAUGGGGUAAAUGAACAUCAUGUUCUACAAUUGUAUAUUUAUGUAUCACUGUAAGUUAGUCUUUUUUUUGAAAACCAUAACGAGAAACGCAAUAAAUGAC